ACUUAUAAAAAUUGCUCAGAAGCAAAAUCUCAACAGAUUGAGAAGAUGCUCUAGAAAAUGGCAGCUUUACCACUUAUUUUAUACGUCAG